UCCCCAAUGAAGUUCUAAUCCCGCCCACACCCACACACCCACCCCCGUUUCCUCUCUACAGUCGCAUUUGAGAGGAGGGUGUGCGGUUUUUGUCUUUUUUUUUUUGGGGUGGGGGGGGCUUUUUCUUUUUUUGUUUUGCACUUCUGCAAACGUCAGUGGCUUUAGAAGACGCCGGCACUCUAGUUUUUGGUUUGUUUUUAACACCGCAGGAGGGGCUGUAGAUCCAAAAUGGGGAAAGUGAACAUCUGGUUGAAAAGGAGUUUUAUCGUUGUCGCAAGUCUGAUGGCGAUUGUAGGGGCGCUCAUGCUGGCCGGAACGCUGUUCAGCCACGGGCAGUACCACGCGGAUGAGAAGAUCGAGGAAAUGAUUGUGGGCAUCAACGCCAUGUAUGCUAUGUCCAUCACCAUUUUGGUCCUGCCCAUCAUCGGCUUGUAUGGCGUCUGCAAA